rnacentral:rRNA from 1 species
UGAAUACGAGAUGCUACGGCGUCGAAGCAGUCUAUGUCAUACUUCCAAGAAAAGCUUGCACUGUCAUAAACAAAUAAUGCCUGUACCAUAACCGACACAGGUGGGUAGGUAGAGUAUACUAAGGGGCGCGAGAUAACUCUCUCUAAGGAACUCGGCAAAAUGACUCCGUAACUUCGGGAGAAGGAGUGCCUUAUUUAUAAGGUUGCAAUAACAAGAUCCAAGCAACUGUUUACCAAAAACACAGGUCUCCGCUAAGUCGUAAGACGAUGUAUGGGGGCUGACGCCUGCCCAGUGCCAGAAGGUUAAAGAAGUUGGUUAGCAUCCGCGAAGCUGAUAACUGAAGCCCUGGUGAACGGCGGCCGUAACAAUAACGGUCCUAAGGUAGCGAAAUUCCUUGUCGGGUAAGUUCCGACCCGCACGAAAGGCGUAAUGAUUUGGAUACUGUCUCGGAGAGGGGCUCGGUGAAAUAGACUUGUCUGUGAAGAUGCGGACUACCUGCACCAGGACAGAAAGACCCUAUGAAGCUUUACUGUAACCUGAAAUUGAAAUUGGACUUUACUUGCGCAGUAUAGGUGGGAGGCGUUGAGAAUAUUCUUGCGGGAUUAUUGGAGCCAUCAGUGAGAUACCACUCUUGUAAUGUUAGAUUUCUAACUUUGUAUCAUUAUCUGGUCAAAGAACAGUUUCAGGCGGGCAGUUUGACUGGGGCGGUCGCCUCCUAAACGAUAACGGAGGCGCACAAAGGUUUCCUCUGAACGGGUAGAAAUCGUAUCUAGAGUGUAAAGGCAUAAGGAAGCUUGACUGUGAGACCUACAAGUCGAGCAGGGACGAAAGUCGGUCUUAGUGAUCUGACGGUGCUGAGUGGAAAGGCCGUCACUCAACGGAUAAAAGUUACUCUAGGAUAACAGGCUGAUCUCCCCCAAGAGUUCACAUCGACGGGGAGGUUUGGCACCUCGAUGUCGGCUCAUCGCAUCCUGGGGCGGUAGUACGUCCCAAGGGUUGGGCUGUUCGCCCAUGAAAGCGGUACGCGAGCUGGGUUCAGAACGUCGUGAGACAGUUCGGUCCAUAUCCGGUGUAGGCGUUAGAAUAUUGAGAGGAGCCUUCUUUAGUACGAGAGGACCGAGAAGGACAUACCUCUGGUGUACCAGUUAUCGUGCCAACGGUAAACGCUGGGUAGCUAUGUGUGGAGUGGAUAACCGCUGAAAGCAUCUAAGUGGGAAGCCCACCUCAAGAUAAGUAUUCUCAU